GAGGAUAUAGCUCACGUGGUAAAGUGCAUGCCUAGCAUGCACGAGGUUCUGGGUUCAAACCCCACUACCUUCU
rnacentral:tRNA from 1 species